AUACUUACCUGGCAGGGGAGAUACCAUGAUCACGAAAUUGGUUUUUCCCAGGGCGAGGCUUAUCCAUUGCACUCCGGAUGUUGACCCCUGCGAUUUCCCCAAAUGCAUCGACUGCAUAAUUUGUGGUAGUGGGGGACUGCGUUCGCGCUCUCCCUGA